GGGAGAGAGAGAGCAAAUAGGUGGGGCAUGUCCCCAAAAAGAGACAUUGGCAUGGACGACACGUCCCAUUUCACUAAUUAAUGCUUCUCUUUUUUUUCCUUUUAAUGCAAUGGACCAGGCUUUUGGCUAUUAACGGACGUUUAGAAUGCCUCGAUAUCCAUGCAAAUCCAAAAUGGUAGAGAUAACUGGAUCUAGGCUUGGCUACACUCGAGUGUACCUACUCCACCUCUCUCU
rnacentral:lncRNA from 1 species